UAGGGAAUCUUCGGCAAUGGACGAAAGUCUGACCGAGCAACGCCGCGCGAGUGAAGAAGGUUUUCGGAUCGUAAAACUCUGUUGUUAGAGAAGAACAAGGACGUUAGUAACUGAACGUCCCCUGACGGUAUCUAACCAGAAAGCCACGGCUAACUACGUGCCAGCAGCCGCGGUAAUACGUAGGUGGCAAGCGUUGUCCGGAUUUAUUGGGCGUAAAGCGAGCGCAGGCGGUUUCUUAAGUCUGAUGUGAAAGCCCCCGGCUCAACCGGGGAGGGUCAUUGGAAACUGGGAGACUUGAGUGCAGAAGAGGAGAGUGGAAUUCCAUGUGUAGCGGUGAAAUGCGUAGAUAUAUGGAGGAACACCAGUGGCGAAGGCGGCUCUCUGGUCUGUAAAUGACGCUGAGGCUCGAAAGCGUGGGGAGCAAACAGG
rnacentral:rRNA from 1 species